CCUUUUGUAUAAUGGGUCAGCGACUUAUAUUCUGUAGCAAGGUUAACCGAAUAGGGGAGCCGAAGGGAAACCGAGUCUUAACUGGGCGUUAAGUUGCAGGGUAUAGACCCGAAACCCGGUGAUCUAGCCAUGGGCAGGUUGAAGGUUGGGUAACACUAACUGGAGGACCGAACCGACUAAUGUUGAAAAAUUAGCGGAUGACUUGUGGCUGGGGGUGAAAGGCCAAUCAAACCGGGAGAUAGCUGGUUCUCCCCGAAAGCUAUUUAGGUAGCGCCUCGUGAAUUCAUCUCCGGGGGUAGAGCACUGUUUCGGCAAGGGGGUCAUCCCGACUUACCAACCCGAUGCAAACUGCGAAUACCGGAGAAUGUUAUCACGGGAGACACACGGCGGGUGCUAACGUCCGUCGUGAAGAGGGAAACAACCCAGACCGCCAGCUAAGGUCCCAAAGUCAUGGUUAAGUGGGAAACGAUGUGGGAAGGCCCAGACAGCCAGGAUGUUGGCUUAGAAGCAGCCAUCAUUUAAAGAAAGCGUAAUAGCUCACUGGUCGAGUCGGCCUGCGCGGAAGAUGUAACGGGGCUAAACCAUGCACCGAAGCUGCGGCAGCGACGCUUAUGCGUUGUUGGGUAGGGGAGCGUUCUGUAAGCCUGUGAAGGUGUGCUGUGAGGCAUGCUGGAGGUAUCAGAAGUGCGAAUGCUGACAUAAGUAACGAUAAAGCGGGUGAAAAGCCCGCUCGCCGGAAGACCAAGGGUUCCUGUCCAACGUUAAUCGGGGCAGGGUGAGUCGACCCCUAAGGCGAGGCCGAAAGGCGUAGUCGAUGGGAAACAGGUUAAUAUUCCUGUACUUGGUGUUACUGCGAAGGG
rnacentral:rRNA from 1 species